UACAUGGGGUGCAAACGUUGCUCGGAAUCAUUGGGCGUAAAGCGCGCGUAGGCGGUUGCCUAAGUCAGAUGUGAAAGCCCUCGGCUCAACUGGGGAAGUGCAUCUGAAACUGGGCAGCUAGAGUACUAAAGAGGGUCGCGGAAUUCCCGGUGUAGAGGUGAGAUUCGUAGAUAUCGGGAGGAACACCGGUGGCGAAGGCGGCGACCUGGGUAGAUACUGACGCUGAGGCGCGAAAGCGUGGGGAGCAAACAGG
rnacentral:rRNA from 1 species